GGAGGAUGCGAGCGUUAUCCGGAUUUAUUGGGUUUAAAGGGUGCGUAGGCGGAUUUGUAAGUCAGCGGUAAAAAUGCGGUGUUCAACGCCGUAUCGCCGUUGAAACUGCAGGUCUUGAGUGAGCGAGAAGUAUGCGGAAUGCGUGGUGUAGCGGUGAAAUGCAUAGAUAUCACGCAGAACUCCGAUUGUGAAGGCAGCAUACCGGCGCUCAACUGACGCUGAGGCACGAAAGCGUGGGGAUCGAA
rnacentral:rRNA from 1 species